rnacentral:lncRNA from 1 species
CAGAAUCUGUACUGUGGGACAGAGCCACCUGCAUCUCCCUACAGAAUAGUUUGGAAAGCUUUCCCCCACUUCUUCUUUUGGCAGGACAUUAGUCAUUAUAAUAAAGGUCUUGUAUUUACCAGACCUGUUUAGACAAAUAAUCUGGAAGCGACAGGAGGAAAUCUGCAAUAACUUACAAUCAGCUCUUAAUUUGUAACUGUUUAGAUUUUUCACAGUACGCCUGAAAUGAGUAAUGUUUAUACAAAGUUCAAGACUUCUACAAGCAACUCUGCCCUCCUGAGUGUGACAGCUUGCUCCUGGCAUUCAGAAACACAGGCCUGAUGUUCCACAUCGUGUUAGAGACUCAGCAUCUGGGCAGAGAGAUCCAUCUAUAAGGACUUUUGGAAGAAGAGUCUUGCUAUUUAGAGAUCUGCAUAUGACGGAUUUCCACACAAGAUCUCCAUGACGAAUCUCAACAAAUAUUGGCCUGUGUUGUUGAUGGAAUUGCACCACCUCCCAAUUCAUGUCUUGCUGUCCUACCCCUCCCGCCUGAUCACAUGAUUGUACCUGGAGCAAGGGCCUUUAAAGAGCUAACAACGUUGAAAAUGAGCUCACCAGGGUGGGUCCUAAGCCAAUAUGAUUAUGAAUGGGAACUUUGAACACAGAAUAUACAGAGGAAAGACUCUGUGAAGACUCAAAGUAAAAAC